CCUACGGGAGGCAGCAGUGAGGAAUAUUGGUCAAUGGGCUUACGCCUGAACCAGCCAAGUCGCGUGAGGGAAGACUGCCCUAUGGGUUGUAAACCUCUUUUGUCAGGGAGCAACGCCGGCUACGUGUAGCCGGACUGAGAGUACCUGAAGAAACAGCAUCGGCUAACUCCGUUCCAGCAGCCGCGGUAAUACGGAGGAUGCGGGCGUUAUCCGGAUUUAUUGGGUUUGCAGGGUGCGUGGGGGGAAUGCCAAGUCAGCGGUAAAACCGCGGGGCUCACCCCGGCUCCGCCGUUCAAACUGGCGUUCUUGAGUGGGCGAGAAGUAUGCGGAAUGCGUGGUGUAGCGGUGAAAUGCAUAGAUAUCACGCAGAACUCCGGUUGCGAAGGCAGCAUACCGGCGCCCAACUGACGCUGAAGCACGAAAGCGUGGGUAGCGAACAGGAUUAGAUACCCUGGUAGUC
rnacentral:rRNA from 1 species